rnacentral:rRNA from 1 species
GAUGAACGCUAGCUACAGGCUUAACACAUGCAAGUCGCGGGGCAGCAUGGGGGUUGCUUGCAACCCCCGAUGGCGACCGGCGCACGGGUGAGUAACGCGUAUCCAACCUGCCCUUCACCACGGGAUAACCCGGCGAAAGUCGGACUAAUACCGUAUGUUGUCCAUUGACGGCAUCCGAUUUGGACGAAAGGCUUGGCGGUGAAGGAUGGGGAUGCGUCCGAUUAGCUUGACGGCGGGGUAACGGCCCACCGUGGCUACGAUCGGUAGGGGUUCUGAGAGGAAGGUCCCCCACACUGGAACUGAGACACGGUCCAGACUCCUACGGGAGGCAGCAGUGAGGAAUAUUGGUCAAUGGGCGUAAGCCUGAACCAGCCAAGUAGCGUGCAGGAUGACGGCCCUAUGGGUUGUAAACUGCUUUUAUGCGGGGAUAAAGGAGUCCACGUGUGGGCUUUUGCAGGUACCGCAUGAAUAAGGACCGGCUAAUUCCGUGCCAGCAGCCGCGGUAAUACGGAAGGUCCGGGCGUUAUCCGGAUUUAUUGGGUUUAAAGGGAGCGUAGGCCGCGCCUUAAGCGUGUUGUGAAAUCCGGGUGCUCAACAUCCGGCUUGCAGCGCGAACUGGGGCGCUUGAGUGCGCUGAAAGUAGGCGGAAUUCGUGGUGUAGCGGUGAAAUGCUUAGAUAUCACGAGGAACUCCGAUUGCGAAGGCAGCCUACUGUAGCGCUACUGACGCUGAUGCUCGAAAGCGUGGGUAUCGAACAGG